UGCUCUCUUAUUCUCUUAAUUCUAUUUUCACUGUUCUGUUUGGACUUUCUUUGGUUUGGUUUAACCUUAAAUGGUGUUAUUUUCAAAGAUAGAUCAUUCCUAAGUAACUUUAUAUUAUUCAUUUUGUGUCUAUUAUAUUAGCUUGCUCCUUGUCAUUCAUUGUGUUUCUUCUUUUCCCUGUUUAUUAUGCUUAACUGUGAUUUUAUUUUUUCUGUGUUUAUACUUUUGUGAUCUAGCUUAGUGUUUUAUUGGUCUCUAUCCUAUUGUGGUCUAUUGUAGGUUUUCUCUUUUUCUUAUCAUGUUUUCUAUUCUGUUUGUUUUCUUUCCUUUUUCUUAUAUUCUUAUUGGAGUAGACUUUAUCCUAUUCUUUGUGUUUGUGAAAUUGGGAUUACGCUUGAAAUUUCUUUUUAUUGUUUGGACUAUCUUCAUGGCUGAGUGCUUAAAAAUUCUUCAUUGUAAUGUUAAGGGUUUACACAGUAACCUCACCAAAAACUAUUUGUUAAAUAGGUGCAUUAUGCAUAAACCCCAGGUUGUCUUUCUGUGUGAAACUGAGGUGAGAGAUCACUCAGUUUUCAAACUACCAAAUUUUUUUUAUUCUAAUUAUAAUCUUUCCCUUUUUAUCAAUAGUGAAGGUUCAAUGGGAAGGAAAGGGGAGAUCUGGUGCCUUCUCUCAAAAUCCAUUUCUUCAGACCCCCUUUCUUCGGUUCCUGUUUCAUUGAUCUUACCCUUUCCCUGCCCCAUACUUGUUGGGUUCUGAUUGGUUUAUAUGCCCCCCACCAAUCCCUUCGGGAAACUUGUUGGUCUGAAAUCUGCUCCUUUCUAUUUUCACUGAAUUUGCCCUUUUUGAUUAUUGGAGAUUUUAAUGAGUUACUUGCCUUGAGCAGAAAUUUUGUAGUGACCCCCUUCAAUCCCUUGCCUCUUCUCUCCUUCUGAAAAACUUGAUUACCUCCUUUAACCUAUCUGAAAUCAAGUUACUUGACAACCACUUUACCUGGUCCAACAAACAAAAGCCACCCAAGCUUAUUAGGAAAGCAUCGAUAAAUGUUUUGCCUCCCCAUCUUGGUUAUGUUUGUUCCCUAAUAUCCAUCUUUCUAAACUCUCAUCCCUUGGUUCUUACCACAAUUCCAUUAUCAUCUCCAACCAUAAAUCACCCUGUGCUAAGAAGCUUUUCCAUUUUCAAGAUGCAUGGGUUUCACACCCUGAAUUCCUUCCCUUCUAUUUGAACAGCUGGUCCAUAAUAGGAGAUGGCAAUUCCAUUACAAAACUUGCAAACCUAAGCAGAAUUCUUUCUUACUGGAACUCUUCUUGUUUCGGUAAUAUCUACAUUCUCAAAUCCUCUCUAUUCCAAUCCCAUUUAUCCCUGGAAAAUCAACAUCCCUCUCCUUCUAUUGAUGAUGAUCUUUCUUUUGUGUCAAAAAAUUUGCAAUGGAUCUUGAGUCCGAGGAAAUUUCUAAUUCCAACAAUCCAGGUAGCUUUAUGUAUCUCAGGAGACCGAAAUACUAAAUUCUUUCAUGCUGUGCUUAAAGUCAACCUGAAUAAAAGAAGUACUGAUUUCAUACCAGUGAUAGCACCACCUUCUUUGCUUCUUGUGACAUUGCUAAAGAACUUGCCUCUUUCCUUUCUACCCUCUUCACCACUACCAACCCCCUUGACCCCUCUUUCAUCGAAUGUCUUUUUUCCCCCUGUUUUGGACCAUGAUGACGUUUCUUCUAUCAAUCAAAUCCCCUCCUUUGAUGAGAUUCGAUUUUUUUUUCUAUUGGGGCCUACAAGGUUCCUCAUCUUGUGUUCUGAUGGGUUCCAAGUAGUUUUUUAUCACAAAUUUUGGGAUUUAAUCAAUUCGAAUGUCUGCAACUUUGUCAUCUCAUUCUUCAGAGACAUCUAUCUCCCAUAUGGCACUAACCAUACCCUUGUAUGCCUUAUCCCAAAAAAAAAGAAUCAGCUUCUUUUGUGGAGGAAUUUCGACCCGUCAGUUUGUGCAAUGUCUCUUACAAAAUCAUUGCAUGCAGACUCAAAGGUGUUCUCCACAAGGUCAUUUCUCCAUUCCAAUCUGCUUUCUUUCUUAGCAGACAUAUUUCUGAUAGCAUUAUUAUUGCCCAUGAAAAUUUUCACCAUCUCAAACACUCUAAGAGGAAGGUGGGUUUUUUCGCUAUUAACCUUGAUAUGGCCAAAGCCUAUAACAAGUUGGAAUGGGGGUUUAUCCGAGGCAACUUUGGCUUUCUGGGUUUUUGGCAGAAAUUGGGAGACUUUAUCAGUUAUCUUAUUAAUUCAUCCUCCUUUUCCAUAAAGCUUAAAGGCUCUCUGCCUUUAAUUUCUUUGAACCUACCAGGGGUACAUAGGGUUGCCCUCUCAGCCAUUUCUCUUCAUUGUGGCAAUGGAAGGAUUGUCUAGACUGCUGUGAGCUUACAGGGACCUUGAUCUUUUAUAGGCAUCAAGGUUGCUAGGAGAGCACCUAAAAUCUCCCAUUUAUUCUUUGCAGAUGACAUAUUCAUUUUUUUUUCCAUGCUACAACAGAAGAUGUAUCCACAAUCAAAUAUAUCCUUGAUAUUUUCUCAAAUCUUUCAGGUUAGACAAUUUUUUUUUAUAAAAGUGGAAUUGCUUUCAAUUCUAAUGUUAAUAAUUCUUGUAAGUCCAACAUCUGGAUAUCUCAAUAUCAAAGAAAUGAACAAUUCAUAUUCUUACCUGGGAACUAACCUCUUUCUUGCCAGAUGUAAAGUAGCAAGAUUCAAUCAUAUUGUCCAUAGGGCUAAUAAAAAACUUAUAAGAAUAAAUUUCCUCCCACAACAUGCUCUCGCUUACAUUCCCUCUUACCUUAUGUUCUGCUUUGCCUUGCCGAAGACUAUAUGCAAAAAGCUAGACUCCAUUGACCUAUGAUUCUGAAAUGGUGAUAAUAACCAUACUAAGAGAGCACACAUCAUUGGAUGGAAGAUAUUUCCCCUCCCAAAUAAUGGAGGUCUUGUAUCGAGGGACUCUGAAACUCAAAACAAGGCUCUUUUGGUGAAGUUUGGAUGGAGAUUAAUUAUUGAAGACAAGACUCUAUGGGUGUAACUGUUCUUCUCUAUGCUCAAAUUGGUGGCUAUUCUUUUGGAAACUGCACAUACACUCGAAAUUUGAAAUAUUUUUCUAGAGAUUAGCACUUGGUGAAACUCCAACUAAAGACCUGCUGGGGAGAUGGAUGACAAUAGAUCCUAUAUGUGAAUUUUGUAAUUCCCAUCCUGAUUUUACCUGGCAUACACUCCUUUCUUGCUAUUUCACAAAGACAACCUGGGCUGCUUGCCCUUUGCAAAUGGAUUACUUUUGUGCUUUUUAUUUUCAGAAUCUUAUCAUGUAUCUGUUUAACUC